CCCUUUGCUCCGCACUCAUUCUCUCUCCUGCUGCCCUGUGAAGAGGUGCCUUCUGCCAUGACUUUAAGUUUCCUGAGGCCUCCCCAGCCAUGCAGAACUGCCUGUCAAGCACAGAGACUACCAAGAUGGAGAGGUUGCAGCCCUGGUCCUCAAGAACUUGCCUGCACAUGGAAAAAUAGAAGCUGAGAGGCAGCUGAAAGGCCAUAUAAGGGCAUAGUAAGAAGGCGGCUGUCUACAAGCCAGGAGGAGAGGCCUCACUGAGAAUCAGCCCUGAAGAAACCACAACCUUGGACUUCUGGCCUCCAGAACUGUGAGAAUAAA